CUGAUGGAUGGACCCGCGGUGCAUUAGCUAGUUGGUGAGGUAACGGCUCACCAAGGCCACGAUGCAUAGCCGACCUGAGAGGGUGAUCGGCCACACUGGGACUGAGACACGGCCCAGACUCCUACGGGAGGCAGCAGUAGGGAAUCUUCGGCAAUGGACGAAAGUCUGACCGAGCAACGCCGCGUGAGUGAAGAAGGUUUUCGGAUCGUAAAACUCUGUUGUUAGAGAAGAACAAGGACGUUAGUAACUGAACGUCCCCUGACGGUAUCUAACCAGAAAGCCACGGCUAACUACGUGCCAGCAGCCGCGGUAAUACGUAGGUGGCAAGCGUUGUCCGGAUUUAUUGGGCGUAAAGCGAGCGCAGGCGGUUUCUUAAGUCUGAUGUGAAAGCCCCCGGCUCAACCGGGGAGGGUCAUUGGAAACUGGGAGACUUGAGUGCAGAAGAGGAGAGUGGAAUUCCAUGUGUAGCGGUGAAAUGCGUAGAUAUAUGGAGGAACACCAGUGGCGAAGGCGGCUCUCUGGUCUGUAACUGACGCUGAGGCUCGAAAGCGUGUGGAGCAAACAGGAUUAGAUACACUGGUAGUCCACGCCGUAAACGAUGAGUGCUAACUGUUGGAGGGUUUCCGCCCUUCAGUGCUGCAGCAAACACAUUAAGCACUCCGCCUGGGGAGUACGACCGCAAGGUUGAAACUCAAAGGAAUUGACGGUGGCCCGCACAAACGGUGGAGCAUGUGGUUUAAUUCAAAGCAACGCGAAGAACCUUACCAGGUCUUGACAUC
rnacentral:rRNA from 1 species